CUCCAUGGCUAACCAUGGGAUGCAUCUCUCCCCGUUCCAUGUUUGAUGAGCUAAAGAAAACUGCUACCAGAACUAUUUCUGCUGCGUCAAACCGUAAUGAUGGUGGUAGCUCUCAAGAGACUGGAAUGAACUGGUUGAUGUUUGAGUUGAUGUGGAGGGAUUUUUUCAGAUUUAUCACCGGGAAGUACAGUUCUCCAAAGAAACAGCUGGAAGCAGCUCCAGCCACAGCUUGUACGGGUGCCCUUGCAUAGGUGACGAUCUAUUUUGGCUAGCGAAAGGAAGUUUUUUUUUUUUUACAUUAAUU
rnacentral:misc_RNA from 1 species